rnacentral:tRNA from 1 species
GCUCAGUUAGUUAAGCGUCUAGCUCUUGGUUUCAGCUCAGGUCAUGAUCUCACAGUUUCGUGGGUUCAAGUCCUGCAUUGAGCU